AGAGACCAGAGCCAAGACCACGGACCAGACCAGACCAGUAGAGACCAGAGCCACCAGGUCUAGUCCAGACCAGACCAGACUCCAGACCAGAGAGAACAGAGCCACCCAGGACCACGCUAGACCAGACCAGACCAGUAGAGACCAGAGCCACCAGGACCACGCUAGACCAGACCAGACCAGACCAGACCACGCUAGACUAGACCAGACCAGUAGAGACCAGAGCCACCAGACCAGUAGAGACCAGACCAGUAGAGAACAGAGCCACCGGGACCACGCUAGACCAGACCAGACCAGUAGAGACCAGACCAGUAGAGACCAGACCAGAGACAACCAGACCACCACCCGGGACCACGCUAGACCAGACCAGACCAGUAGAGACCAG
ensembl:lncRNA